GGCUCGGUGGUGUAGUUGGUUAUCACGUCAGUCUAACAAGCAAUGUCCUGUUAGGGUCACUGAAGGUCCCGAGUUCAAACCUCGGCUGAGUCA